GAUGAACGCUGGCGGCGUGCCUAAUACAUGCAAGUCGAGCGAAUGGAUUAAGAGCUUGUUCUUAUGAAGUUAGCGGCGGACGGGUGAGUAACACGUGGGUAACCUGCCCAUAAGACUGGGAUAACUCCGGGGAACCGGGGCUAAUACCGGAUAACAUUUUGAACCGCAUGGUUCGAAAUUGAAACGCGGCUUCGGCUGUCACUUAUGGAUAGACCCGCGUCGCAUUAGCUAGUUGGUGUGGUAACGGCUCACCAAGGCAACGAUGCGUAGCCGACGUGAGAGGGUGAUCGGCCACACUGGGACUGAGACACGGCCCAGACUCCUACGGGAGGCAGCAGUAGGGAAUCUUCCGCAAUGGACGAAAGUCUGACGGAGCAACGCCGCGUGAGUGAUGAAGGCUUUCGGGUCGUAAAACUCUGUUGUUAGGGAAGAACAAGUGCUAGUUGAAUAAGCUGGCACCUUGACGGUACCUAACCAGAAAGCCACGGCUAACUACGUGCCAGCAGCCGCAGUAA
rnacentral:rRNA from 1 species